CCGUGCCACCAACAAAGAUCAGCUCAGCCGAGGAGAGGAAAAGACAAGUCAGAAUUACAAGGCCUAACUCCUUAAUCCUGGAUCCGUGCCUGCAGAAUGAGGAGAGGGGGCUGGAGGCCAUGCCUCCAUUUCAUCAGUAAUGCCUAACGCGGCUCCCGACAGAGUACAUCAUGAGAAAUGCUGGACUGGAAGAAACACAAGCUGGAAUCAAGAUUGCUGGGAGAAAUAUCAAU